rnacentral:rRNA from 1 species
GACGAACGCUGGCGGCGUGCCUAAUACAUGCAAGUCGAGCGAGCGGAACUAACAGAUUUACUUCGGUAAUGACGUUAGGAAAGCGAGCGGCGGAUGGGUGAGUAACACGUGGGGAACCUGCCCCAUAGUCUGGGAUACCACUUGGAAACAGGUGCUAAUACCGGAUAAGAAAGCAGAUCGCAUGAUCAGCUUUUAAAAGGCGGCGUAAGCUGUCGCUAUGGGAUGGCCCCGCGGUGCAUUAGCUAGUUGGUAAGGUAAAGGCUUACCAAGGCGAUGAUGCAUAGCCGAGUUGAGAGACUGAUCGGCCACAUUGGGACUGAGACACGGCCCAAACUCCUACGGGAGGCAGCAGUAGGGAAUCUUCCACAAUGGACGCAAGUCUGAUGGAGCAACGCCGCGUGAGUGAAGAAGGUUUUCGGAUCGUAAAGCUCUGUUGUUGGUGAAGAAGGAUAGAGGUAGUAACUGGCCUUUAUUUGACGGUAAUCAACCAGAAAGUCACGGCUAACUACGUGCCAGCAGCCGCGGUAAUACGUAGGUGGCAAGCGUUGUCCGGAUUUAUUGGGCGUAAAGCGAGCGCAGGCGGAAGAAUAAGUCUGAUGUGAAAGCCCUCGGCUUAACCGAGGAACUGCAUCGGAAACUGUUUUUCUUGAGUGCAGAAGAGGAGAGUGGAACUCCAUGUGUAGCGGUGGAAUGCGUAGAUAUAUGGAAGAACACCAGUGNCGAAGGCGGCUCUCUGGUCUGCAACUGACGCUGAGGCUCGAAAGCAUGGGUAGCGAACAGG